GCGAAGGCAGCUUUCUGGAUCAUUACUGACACUGAGGAACGAAAGCAUGGGUAGCGAAGAGGAUUAGAUACCCUCGUAGUCCAUGCCGUAAACGAUGUGUGUUAGACGUUGGAAAUUUAUUUUCAGUGUCGCAGGGAAACCGAUAAACACACCGCCUGGGGAGUACGACCGCAAGGUUAAAACUCAAAUGAAUUGACGGGGACCCGCACAAGUAGUGGAGCAUGUGGUUUAAUUCGAAGAUACGCGCAGAACCUUACCAACACUUGACAUGUUCGUCGCGACUCUAAGAGAUUAGAGUUUUCGGUUCGGCCGGACGAAACACAGGUGCUGCAUGGCUGUCGUCAGCUCGUGUCGUGAGAUGUUGGGUUAAGUCCCGCAACGAGCGCAACCCUCACUUUUAGUUGCCAUCAUUAAGUUGGGCACUCUGAAAGAACUGCCAGUGAUAAGCUGGAGGAAGGUGGGGAUGACGUCAAGUCCUCAUGGCCCUUACGUGUUGGGCUACACACGUGCUACAAUGGCAUCUACAACAGGAAGCAAAACGGCAACGUUAAGCAAAUCCCGAAAAGAUGCCUCAGUUCGGAUUGCACUCUGCAACUCGAGUGCAUGAAGCUGGAAUUACUAGUAAUCGUGGAUCAGCGUGCCACGGUGAAUGCGUUCCCGGGUCUUGUACACACCGCCCGUCACACCAUGGGAGUUGGUUCUACCUUAAGGCAAGGUUUCAAACCCUUGACCACGGUAUAGUCAGCGACUGGGGUGAAGUCGUAACAAGGUAGCCGUA
rnacentral:rRNA from 1 species